rnacentral:rRNA from 1 species
GAGAUGAGACUGUGCCUUCGGGAGCCGUGAGACAGGUGCUGCAUGGCUGUCGUCAGCUCGUGUUGUGAAAUGUUGGGUUAAGUCCCGCAACGAGCGCAACCCUUAUCCUUUGUUGCCAGCGGUCCGGCCGGGAACUCAAAGGAGACUGCCAGUGAUAAACUGGAGGAAGGUGGGGAUGACGUCAAGUCAUCAUGGCCCUUACGACCAGGGCUACACACGUGCUACAAUGGCGCAUACAAAGAGAAGCGACCUCGCGAGAGCAAGCGGACCUCAUAAAGUGCGUCGUAGUCCGGAUUGGAGUCUGCAACUCGACUCCAUGAAGUCGGAAUCGCUAGUAAUCGUGGAUCAGAAUGCCACGGUGAAUACGUUCCCGGGCCUUGUACACACCGCCCGUCACACCAUGGGAGUGGGUUGCAAAAGAAGUAGGUAGCUUAACCUUCGGGAGGGCGCUUACCACUUUGUGAUUCAUGACUGGGGUGAAGUCGUAACAAGGUAACCGUAGGGGAACCUGCGGUUGGAUCACCUCCUUACCUGAAAGAA